rnacentral:tRNA from 1 species
GCGAGAGUGGUGGAAUUGGUAGACACGCUGGAUUUAGGAUCCAGUGCCUUCGUGCGUAGGGGUUCAAGUCCCCUCUCUCGCA